GGGGCAUUAGCUCAGUUGGCUAGAGCGCCUGCUUUGCAAGCAGGAGGUCGUCGGUUCGAGCCCGACAUGCUCCACCA
rnacentral:tRNA from 1 species